AUCCAGUGAUGAAACACUUACAUAUUUCUGACACCUCAUAUGAGAGCUUUACAGGCUCCUGAUUCUACCCUGUUUCUGAGAAUU